CAUUCCCAAUCCAGACAUAGUGUCUGCGUCCCACGGUAUUCCAGUUCUCCAAUUUGGGAGUUCAGAGUGUACAUGUUUUUUUGCCAGUGAACUUGUGAAAAUGACUCAAUCUAAACUCAGCUUCUGCUGAAGACUGUGGCUUCAAAUAUAUUUUUCUAGGAGCAUCUUAACGUUAUCAGACAUUGCCCCGAAACUCCAAUUUUGAUUUAAAGGGAUUUUUAAAAGCAGCUCACCGUGUCAUCUGCAGAUCAAGUCUCAUGAAGCAUGCAAUCAAUAAGACACCACAAGCAGCAGGGUAAACAAUUCCUGAAGUCUGGCAGCAGCGGACGGACUUCAUCAGUGAUGGCCUCCUUCCGAGAUACGCCCGGUGCCUUUUGGAGAUGGGCUGCAUGUUGACCCAGUGUCAAGUCCGUGCUGCAGGAGGGCAUUCCGUCCGCUCCGCCAGGGCAGCGUGGGGUUUCACAGCACGCCUGCUUCCGGACCGCUCCAGAACAAAGACCCUGACUGGGGCCAAGACCUGCCGCCGCUCCUCUGAGCUCGUGCCACAAGCAAACAUACACAAUCGCACACUGUUGAACACACCCUCAGACAUAUACACGGGACGACUCUCUUGGGGCCCUUUU